rnacentral:rRNA from 1 species
UACGUAGGAGGCAAGCGUUGUCCGGAAUAUCUGGGCGUAAAGCGCGUGUAGGUGGUGGGACAAGUCUGCUGUGAAAGCGCCUGGCUUAACCGGGCGAGGUCGGCGGAAACUGUCCGACUCGAGGACGGUAGAGGGGGGUGGAAUUCCCGGUGUAGUGGUGAAAUGCGUAGAGAUCGGGAGGAACACCUGUGGCGAAGGCGGCCCCCUGGGCCGGCCCUGACACUGAGACGCGAAGGCGUGGGGAGCGAACGGG